AUCAAAAUAAAUCUCCUCAAGGGGAGAUCUCCUUGCAGAGGUCGUGUCCCACUUGAGGAGCUCUGAGGAGCUCUGAACCCCCUCAGACGUCAGAGGACGGAUGUCACAGGAAUGCCGGUGAGGGACACGGAGCUCCUCUGUGUUCUCUGCUGCUAAAAAUACAGCGUGGCUAAAGUGACUCCCUGCUCCUCUUUGGGAGUAUUAAAAGCAAUGGAAGCCCCCCCAUCUACUCCUCCAUCACCCACCCAUCAGCCUCCACCUUUUCCCUUGUUCCCUCCAGCUUCAGACCCCCUGCUGGUGUGACGGUGAGGCUCCUUAAGCGCCAUUGGCUGAAUAGUGAUUUAAGUUCUCACAGCGAGAGUUUAACGUGUGUUGAAUUUCACAGUUGCUUCUGAGAUGGUUUGAGAUGUGAUUUAUCUCCAGAUUCUGUUUCCAUCUCAUCAACGUAGAAAUGAACUCGGUCAGAACCACAAACGGAGCUUCGUUUGCUGUGAGAGAAGAGAUGACGCGUUGGGUUCAAACAUCAUAAUUUAAUUCUAGUUCCACUACAGCAAAGCUCCAAACAACGAGUUCACGGGUUCAUGCAACAUCUACGGUGGAGUCGGGCCGGUUCCCUCGGGGGGUUCCAGCGGUUCCCUCCGGCCCACCGAGUCUAAUCCUUCUACCACAAAGACGGACACUCGGGACCAUCUAACAAAGAACAAACUGGACCAAACAAGGAGCUCAUGUUAUCGUCAGAACAACGCGCAGAACCUCGGAUCCAGUUCUGGAGAGACGUCGAGAAUCAGGCAAUCAACAGUGUUCCAUCAGAUAAAUACGGAGGAUCCACAGUGUUCAGAGUCCCAGAGGACGGCAUCACCACGGCAACGCCACGGCAACGCCACGGCAACGCCACGGCAUCGCCACGGCAUCGCCACGGCAUCACCACGGCAACGCCACGGCAUCGCCACGGCAUCGCCACGGCAUCACCACGGCAUCACCACGGCAACGCCACGGCAUCACCAACCAGGCGGUAAACAAAAAAACACAAAUAUGGAGCAAAAUAUUCCAAAUAAGGCCCCUGAAGGAAUUCAAACUAUUGGUGAUGAAGGACGGGAGAAGAGGCACCAAAAAGUUGAGAUAUCAAAAAUGCGCCAGUCUGUGGUAGGAAAACGUUCCCUCGUGUUUCAUAAAAAGGUGGAGCGGGUGGAGCGGCUACAUCAUCCUGGAGGACGUUCCUGA
ensembl:lncRNA